rnacentral:rRNA from 1 species
UACGAAGGGGCUAGCGUUGCUCGGAAUCACUGGGCGUAAGGGUGCGUAGGCGGGUCUUUAAGUCAGGGUGAAUCCUGGAGCUCAACUCCAGAACUGCCUUAAUACUGAAGAUCUUGAGUUCGGGAGAGGUGAGUGGAACUGCGAGUGUAGAGGUGAAAUUCGUAGAUAUUCGCAAGAACACCAGUGGCGAAGGCGGACUCACUGGCCCGAUACUGACGCUGAGCACGAAGCGAUGGG